UGGUGAAAGAUCCCCGUCUGUCUGUCUGUCUGUCUUUCAGAGGAACAUGACACACAUAUCAAGACAACAUGGAAAAUAUGAAGAGUGUUUCAAAUGUGGAUCCAAAUCAAAGGUCACAGGAAGAAACUCUAGCUUGCCAUGGAGCAAAUGUUUGUCAACUGGAAGAAUCCAUCUGUAGGACGGUUAUCAGCUCUCUGUAAUAAACAAGUGACCUACUAGUGAUUAAAA